rnacentral:rRNA from 1 species
GAUGAACGCUGGCGGCGUGCCUAAUACAUGCAAGUCGAGCGAACAGACGAGGCGCUUGCUCCUUUGACGUUAGCGGCGGACGGGUGUGUAACACGUAGGUAACCUACCUAUAAUUCUGGGAUAACUUCGGGAAACCGGAGCUAAUCCCGGAUAAUAUUCUGCACCGCAUGGUUCGAUAGUGAAAGAUGGCGUUGCUGUCACUUCUCGCUGCACCUGCGCCGUAUUAGCUAGUUGGUAAGGUAACGGCUUACGAAGGCGACGAUACGUAGCCGACCUGAGAGAGUGGUCGGCCACACUGGAGCUGAGACACGGUCCAGACUCCUACGGGAGGCAGCAGUAGGGAAUCGUCCGCAAUGGGCGAAAGCCUGACAGAACAACGCCGAGUGAGUGAUGAAAGUCUUCGGAUCGUAAAAAUCUGUUAUUAGGGAAGAACAAACGUGUAAGUAACUGUGCACGUCUUGACGGUACCUAAUCAGAAAGCCACGGCUAACUACGUG